rnacentral:snoRNA from 1 species
AUCCAUGUUUCUUUCUCUCCUCCUCCCUCCCUCCUUUCUACCCUCUAAAAAAAGAGUUCACACCUGCAUGCUAGAGCAACCUGGAGAGACUUUGACAGCUCAGGUCAGCAUAAUACCUGCAGCUGCCACUCGCCUUUCCUAUAUCU